GACGAACGCUGGCGGCGUGCUUAACACAUGCAAGUCGAACGGAAAGGCCCUGCUUUUGUGGGGUGCUCGAGUGGCGAACGGGUGAGUAACACGUGAGUAACCUGCCCUUGACUUUGGGAUAACUUCAGGAAACUGGGGCUAAUACCGGAUAGGAGCUCCUGCUGCAUGGUGGGGGUUGGAAAGUUUCGGCGGUUGGGGAUGGACUCGCGGCUUAUCAGCUUGUUGGUGGGGGAGUGGCUUACCAAGGCUUUGACGGGUAGCCGGCCUGAGAGGGUGACCGGCCACAUUGGGACUGAGAUACGGCCCAGACUCCUACGGGAGGCAGCAGUGGGGAAUAUUGCACAAUGGGCGGAAGCCUGAUGCAGCAACGCCGCGUGCGGGAUGACGGCCUUCGGGUUGUAAACCGCUUUAGCCUGUGACGAAGCGUGAGUGACGGUAAUGGGUAAAGAAGCACCGGCUAACUACGUG
rnacentral:rRNA from 1 species